ACCACACUGUACUUCGCCAUACGAACUGCAAGUCCAAGGCGGCGGAUCCAGCCUUCAGGGACCCCUCCUCAUCCAUUCACCCGAACACCCGAAGAGACGGAGGGUUCGGCAAUCGCCACCAAUCCAGCGUGCGAAUCUGGUCCAUCAACUGUGACCUCAACUCCACAUCUCAGCAGCUAGCCAUAAUCUCGCGCUCCCGACUAAUUCGGGGGUCUACCCAGGAAUCGAAUCCAGGACCUUAAACCGCUAAUUG
rnacentral:lncRNA from 1 species